AUGAACGCUGGCGGCGUGCCUAAUACAUGCAAGUCGAGCGAACAGACGAGGAGCUUGCUCCUCUGACGUUAGCGGCGGACGGGUGAGUAACACGUGGAUAACCUACCUAUAAGACUGGGAUAACUUCUGGAAACCGGAGCUAAUACCGGAUAAUAUAUUGAACCGCAUGGUUCAAUAGUGAAAGACGGUUUUGCUGUCACUUAUAGAUGGAUCCGCGGCGCAUUAGCUAGUUGGUAAGGUAACGGCUUACCAAGGCAACGAUGCGUAGCCGACCUGAGAGGGAGAUCGGCCACACUGGAACUGCGACACGGUCCAGACUCCUACGGGAGGCAGCAGUAGGGAAUCUUCCGCAAAGGGCGAAAGCCUGACGGAGCAACGCCGCGUGAGUGAUGAAGGUCUUCGGAUCGUAAAACUCUGUUAUUAGGGAAGAACAAAUGUGUAAGUAACUAUGCACGUCUUGACGGUACCUAAUCAGAAAGCCACGGCUAACUACGUG
rnacentral:rRNA from 1 species